rnacentral:rRNA from 1 species
UACACGACCGUACCGCAAACCGACACUGGUGCGCGAGAUGAGUAUUCUAAGGCGCUUGAGAGAACUCAGGAGAAGGAACUCGGCAAAUUGACACCGUAACUUCGGAAGAAGGUGUGCCUUUAGUAGGUGAAGUCCCUCGCGGAUGGAGCCCAAUGAGGUUGCAAAAAAUCGGUGGCUGCGACUGUUUAUUAAAAACACAGCACUCUGCAAACACGAAAGUGGACGUAUAGGGUGUGACGCCUGCCCGGUGCUGGAAGAUUAAAUGAUGGGGUGCAAGCUCUUGAUUGAAGUCCCAGUAAACGGCGGCCGUAACAAUAACGGUCCUAAGGUAGCGAAAUUCCUUGUCGGGUAAGUUCCGACCUGCACGAAUGGCGUAACGAUGGCCACACUGUCUCCUCCUGAGACUCAGCGAAGUUGAAAUGUUUGUGAUGAUGCAAUCUCCCCGCGGAAAGACGGAAAGACCCCAUGAACCUUUACUGUAGCUUUGUAUUGGACUUUGAACAGAUCUGUGUAGGAUAGGUGGGAGGCUUUGAAGCAGGGUCGCUAGAUCUUGUGGAGCCAACGUUGAAAUACCACCCUGGUGUGUUUGAGGUUCUAACCUAGGCCCGUAAUCCGGGUUGGGGACAGUGCAUGGUAGGCAGUUUGACUGGGGCGGUCUCCUCCCAAAGUGUAACGGAGGAGUUCGAAGGUACGCUAGUUACGGUCGGACAUCGUGACGAUAGUGCAAUGGCAUAAGCGUGCUUAACUGCGAGACUGACAAGUCGAGCAGAUGCGAAAGCAGGACAUAGUGAUCCGGUGGUUCUGUAUGGAAGGGCCAUCGCUCAACGGAUAAAAGGUACUCUGGGGAUAACAGGCUGAUACCGCCCAAGAGUUCAUAUCGACGGCGGUGUUUGGCACCUCGAUGUCGGCUCAUCUCAUCCUGGGGCUGUAGCCGGUCCCAAGGGUAUGGCUGUUCGCCAUUUAAAGAGGUACGUGAGCUGGGUUUAAAACGUCGUGAGACAGUUUGGUCCCUAUCUUCCGUGGGCGCUGCAGAUUUGAGGAAGCCUGCUCCUAGUACGAGAGGACCGGAGUGGACGCACCUCUGGUGUAUCGGUUGUCACGCCAGUGGCAUUGCCGAGUAGCUAUGUGCGGAAGAGAUAACCGCUGAAAGCAUCUAAGCGGGAAACUCGUUUCAAGAUGAGAUCUGCCGGGGCCUUGAGCCCCCUGAAGAGUCGUUCAAGACCAGGACGUUGAUAGGUCGGGUGUGGAAGCGCAGUAAUGCGUUAAGCUAACCGAUACUAAUUGCUCGUGCGGCUUGACC